UGCCAGCCGCCGCGGUAAGACAGAGGGGGCAAGCGUUGUCCGGAGUUACUGGGCGUAAAGGGCGCGAAGGCGGUCGGUUGCGUCGGCGCUGAAAGCGCCCCGCUUAACGGGGCGAGGCGCGCCGAUACGAACCGACUGGAGGCGAGCAGAGGGCAGCGGAAUUCCGGGUGGAGCGGUGAAAUGCGUAGAGAUCCGGAGGAACGCCAGUGGAGCAGUCGGCUGCCUGGGCUCGACCUGACGCUGCGGCGCGACAGCGUGGGGAGCAAACCGGAUUAGAUA
rnacentral:rRNA from 1 species